UGAAGAUAUUGCCAAAUCUCUUCUUCUUCGCUUUUGCCCGUAAGUUCAUAGAUGCAACAAAAUGUAGAAAUAGUUGAUCAUCUUGAGUUGAACAUGGAUGUGCUUGUAAGAUUAUCAGAGUAGUUGAUUUUAAUUGCCAACUUUUCUUAGGUGGAAGACAUCAUUGGAUCUCGCAAAGGCUCUUUGUGAUGUACAAUAUAAAAAGUUCAAGUCCAAAAGAAAGAGAGCAUAUAUUUCAGCUUAUGGAGACUUUCCGAAUGCAGAAGAAUUAGCAAGUUUUAGUGAGAAAGAGCUAAAAGGUAUAGGCAACUUUGGAUAUAGAGCAAGGGACUUGGUUAUGUUGGCAAAACAAAUUGUUGAUGGGGAAAUUAAGCUCAGUAAGUUUGAAAAAGACCACAUUGGUGCCGAACCAAGUUGGUCUAAGCUGAAAAUAAAUGGUGCUGGUCCAUUUACCAUCAACACUAUCAUGAUGUGUGCCGGACAUUAUAAUUAUAUUCCAGUUGACAGUGAAACGAUGCGUCAUAUGAAUGAGGUAAAUGAAAUUUAUAACUGGAUCUGCAUGUUUCAAUUUACUUGUCUCUUUUGAUUUGUUAACUUAUUGCAUAUUCUACUUUCAAUCUAAACGAGCUUUAAAUGGUUUGUCAAUAAAAAUUAAUUGGGCCAAAAGAAUUUAUUUAGUUUCAUCUUAUUAAUUAGCCCAUAUUUUUAUUUUGUUAGUCAUUAUUUUCCGAGUCUGAUGCAUGAGCUUCAUUUCAGUUUCAUGGACUUAAAGUGCACACGAGAAAAAGAGGAUUCAUCAAUCUCCAGGUUUCAACUUGUCAACUGUUGUGAAAGAGAACUUGGGAAGGUAUUAAGCGAGUUAUUACCAUCAGAAUAUCAUCGUGUCACUAGCAACUAUGAAAAGGAGAAGAAGAAAUUUUGAGCUAGGAUGGAGGGUGCAUUAAACUAUGAAAAGAAGGGGAAGAAGAAGAUAUCGAACAGAGUCAUGAGGAAAAAGGGGAGGAAGAAUCAGAGAAGGAUAAAAAAGGUUGAUAGAAGAAAAUAUUUACAUAUGUUCAUUCUUGUUUCUCUCUAUAUCACUACUAGAAAUUUGGUAAAAACCGACCAAAA